GGUGUUACUGCGAAGGGGGGACGGAGAAGGCUAUGUUGGCCGGGCGACGGUUGUCCCGGUUUAAGCGUGUAGGUGUGUGUUCCAGGUAAAUCCGGUUCACUUUAACACUGAGGCGUGACGACGAGGCACUACGGUGCUGAAGCAACAAAUGCCCUGCUUCCAGGAAAAGCCUCUAAGCAUCAGGUAACAUCAAAUCGUACCCCAAACCGACACAGGUGGUCAGGUAGAGAAUACCAAGGCGCUUGAGAGAACUCGGGUGAAGGAACUAGGCAAAAUGGUGCCGUAACUUCGGGAGAAGGCACGCUGACACGUAGGUGAAGUGAUUUACUCAUGGAGCUGAAGUCAGUCGAAGAUACCAGCUGGCUGCAACUGUUUAUUAAAAACACAGCACUGUGCAAACACGAAAGUGGACGUAUACGGUGUGACGCCUGCCCGGUGCCGGAAGGUUAAUUGAUGGGGUCAGCGCAAGCGAAGCUCCUGAUCGAAGCCCCGGUAAACGGCGGCCGUAACUAUAACGGUCCUAAGGUAGCGAAAUUCCUUGUCGGGUAAGUUCCGACCUGCACGAAUGGCGUAAUGAUGGCCAGGCUGUCUCCACCCGAGACUCAGUGAAAUUGAACUCGCUGUGAAGAUGCAGUGUACCCGCGGCAAGACGGAAAGACCCCGUGAACCUUUACUAUAGCUUGACACUGAACAUUGAGCCUUGAUGUGUAGGAUAGGUGGGAGGCUUUGAAGAUGGAGCCGACCUUGAAAUACCACCCUUUAAUGUUUGAUGUUCUAACGUGGACCCGUAAUCCGGGUUGCGGACAGUGUCUGGUGGGUAGUUUGACUGGGGCGGUCUCCUCCUAAAGAGUAACGGAGGAGCACGAAGGUUGGCUAAUCCUGGUCGGACAUCAGGAGGUUAGUGCAAUGGCAUAAGCCAGCUUGACUGCGAGCGUGACGGCGCGAGCAGGUGCGAAAGCAGGUCAUAGUGAUCCGGUGGUUCUGAAUGGAAGGGCCAUCGCUCAACGGAUAAAAGGUACUCCGGGGAUAACAGGCUGAUACCGCCCAAGAGUUCAUAUCGACGGCGGUGUUUGGCACCUCGAUGUCGGCUCAUCACAUCCUGGGGCUGAAGUAGGUCCCAAGGGUAUGGCUGUUCGCCAUUUAAAGUGGUACGCGAGCUGGGUUUAGAACGUCGUGAGACAGUUCGGUCCCUAUCUGCCGUGGGCGCUGGAGAACUGAGGGGGGCUGCUCCUAGUACGAGAGGACCGGAGUGGACGCAUCACUGGUGUUCGGGUUGUCAUGCCAAUGGCACUGCCCGGUAGCUAAAUGCGGAAGAGAUAAGUGCUGAAAGCAUCUAAGCACGAAACUUGCCCCGAGAUGAGUUCUCCCUGAGACUUAGAGUCUCCUGAAGGAACGUUGAAGACGACGACGUUGAUAGGCCGGGUGUGUAAGCGCAGCGAUGCGUUGAGCUAACCGGUACUAAUGAACCGUGAGGCUUAACCUU
rnacentral:rRNA from 1 species